UUGUGGUUAAAAAGCUCGUAGUUGGAUCUCAACAGCCUUGAAGCGGUUAACUUUGUAGUUUUACUGCUUUAUAGGCUGUGCUUUUGCUGGAGGUUUAGGGGUGCUCUUGAUCGAGUGUCUCUGGAUGCCAGCAGGUUUACUUUGAAAAAAUUAGAGUGCUCAAAGCAGGCUAAAAUGCCUGAAUAUUCGUGCAUGGAAUAAUAGAAUAGGAUGUCGAUCCUAUUUUGUUGGUUUUCGGGACUCGACAUAAUGAUAAAUAGGGACAGUCGGGGGCAUUUGUAUUCAAACGACAGAGGUGAAAUUCUUGGACCGUUUGAAGACAAACUACUGCGAAAGCAUUUGCCAAGAAUGUUUUCAUUAAUCAAGAACGAAAGUUAGAGGUUCGAAGGCGAUUAGAUACCGCCCUAGUUCUAACCAUAAACGAUGCCAGCUAGCGAUCUGCCUGCGUUUUUACUGUAGACUGGGCAGGAAGCUUCCGGGAAACCAAAGCAUUUGGGUUCCAGGGGAAGUAUGGCUGCAAAGCUGAAACUUAAAGGAAUUGACGGAAGGGCACCACCAGGAGUGGAGCCUGUGGCUUAAUUUGACUCAACACGGGAA
rnacentral:rRNA from 1 species